GGCGGCUUCCGGGUGUGCCCGGCCUUUGUCUCUCGUGUCCGCACGUGCGUGUCUCGGUCAGUAGCCGCUGCGCUUCUCGAACUUCUCUCUCGGCGGUUCAGGAGGCUCUGCCGCAGCCGGGGCCCUCCUGUGACCUGCAUGUACUGGGGGAUUCGCAGGGAGGAUGUCGGGACACCCCGGAAGCUGGGAAAUGGCACACUCACAAACGUCUUUGGAUGGAGGUUUCCCUUUGGAACCUUCACGUGGUGAUGUGUCCUCAGCCACCCUCUUGUCUUUUCUGGGUCCUGGGUUCAAAACUGUUUGAGGAUGACCUAAUGUGCCCACACUGGCCAUGUCUCUUGGAGUGUCAUAGUGAAUGUCAGCUGUUGGGUCCUCUUCUCCCAGAAGACAAGGUGAGGUUUAGGGGUGGAGCCUCUCAGAGGAGCAGCUGGAUGGCAUGAAUCCCCUGGGACCGAGAGGAGUCUCCUGGGAUACUCUUCUAUACUCUUCCUCUAAAAAGCUAAUCCAUUGGGACUUAGAUUUUUUUUUCUCCCACCCCCGUUAUCACUCCUUAGAGACAAAAUGCUGGUCAGGCAGUCAGAUACUGGUAUUGAGGGAAGAAAGAAUUUCUGCCCUCUGGAUUGUCUCAUACUUGUGAAGGGAGAACAGCUAUUCCAAAGUACAAGGAAGCCCCGCCCCGCAGUGAGGCAGUAACCUGAAAAGCAAAAUGCAUUUGGGGCACAGUGGGGACACGGCGCAGUUUUCUGGGGGAGGGUGGACAUUGAGUACUUCCCUGAGCAGGAUGGGGUGGGAGAAUUCAGGAGAUGAGAUGGUCUGACUUGACCCUUGAGUCAGCCAUGUCCGUGCUCGUCAGUACUGCUACUCGUUUGUCACCUUGAAAAUACUUGUUCACUUAUUUUAACUUCAGUUUUUCGCUGAUUGAAAAAUACAUUUUAUCAGUACAGCUUGAGAGAUAAUAUUUUCAAAAGGCCAAGAAAGAGGUGUAUAUCAGAAAAAUAUUAGAUAUCUAGUCAUAUAUUUCAUUUGUUAAAAAUUCUUAAAUGGCUUUUUUCUUCCCCAGAGGGAGUGUAGUAAGUUUCACAGGUUUGUUCUUUUCUGGGGGUGGUUUCAACCCGAAUUCCAGGGCUUAGCUUUGGGAAUGCUACCAGGGAAAAAUAGGGACACUGUCUUCCAUUAUGGCUGCAGAAAAAUACGUUUUCACAAGAAAGUAUACUCACUAACAGCAGCUCACUAAAGCAUCAGUUCCACCUUUGUGCCGAGCGGAGAUUCUGUGACAGUGGAUGACUCUGUUUCCUGUUACCUGGAUGUCCAAGUUUAAUGGCAAAUCUGUGGGUGGGGACUUGGCAUUUUUAGAUGUGUUAACAUCGAAAUAAUUUAUGAAAUAAUGUUAUCAUGUAAAUAAUUACAUGACUUGUUUAUUGUAUGAAAGGAAUACUUCUGCUUUUCCUGUUGAGGUAUGAAAUGUAAUUGCCUUGCAAUUUUAUUCCCUCCAACAUACAUAAAAGCAGAGUUUGAGUGAU